rfam:Schistosoma margrebowiei strain Zambia genome assembly, scaffold: SMRZ_scaffold0002303
AGCCUUUCGAAUCCGUGCUGAGAUUUCGUCAAACACCAACCCAUUAGGGAUGAUCAUACUUCCAAGAUAAGUGAAUCU